AUUGAACGCUGGCGGCAGGCUUAACACAUGCAAGUCGAACGGUAACAGGAAGCAGCUUGCUGCUUCGCUGACGAGUGGCGGACGGGUGAGUAAUGUCUGGGAAGCUGCCUGAUGGAGGGGGAUAACUACUGGAAACGGUAGCUAAUACCGCAUAAUGUCGCAAGACCAAAGAGGGGGACCUUCGGGCCUCUUGCCAUCGGAUGUGCCCAGAUGGGAUUAGCUUGUUGGUGGGGUAACGGCUCACCAAGGCGACGAUCCCUAGCUGGUCUGAGAGGAUGACCAGCCACACUGGAACUGAGACACGGUCCAGACUCCUACGGGAGGCAGCAGUGGGGAAUAUUGCACAAAGGGCGCAAGCCUGAUGCAGCCAUGCCGCGUGUAUGAAGAAGGCCUUCGGGUUGUAAAGUACUUUCAGCGGGGAGGAAGGGAGUAAAGUUAAUACCUUUGCUCAUUGACGUUACCCGCAGAAGAAGCACCGGCUAACUCCGUG
rnacentral:rRNA from 1 species